UUUGAAUCACCAGUUGAAAAAAAUUCUUAAAAAAGAAAUAUACAAUUUUUUUUAUAAUGAUAAUAAACGGAGAGUAAAUUUGUUUUUGCAAACUAGAUAUUUCAUAAAUCAGAGGCAUUAUUAUGGAUGCAAAUCAUAAAAAAACAGCAAGCAAAUAGCGAAAAAUGCGACGGUAUCACGUCAAUUCGGUACAGCAUCAAUUCAGCGCAAAGACAAUAAGGCGCGGCGACAAUUCGGAAAAGAAAGGGUCUUCGACGAUAAUCUUCUCACAUAUCAUAAUGUGAAUUGGAUUGGCAAAUUAUUUCAAGAUGGAGAUAGAUAAGCACCGUUUCCGAUUUCUUUUUGGGAUCAAUAUGCUGCUAUAUUGGAGGGAAUUCCAAAAACAAAUAAUACAAUUGAAGGUUGAAGAGCAUUCUCAUUUCUACUAUCAUUGCACCAUCCUUCUAUUUGGAAAUUUUUAUAUGCUCUACGCUUAGAACAAUCGUUAACCGAAGCAAAAAAUGAAUAAUAUAUUUCUGGCACGCAACCCAGGAGAUCAAGAAAGGUUUAUCGGAAUACAACUGAAAAUAUUAUAUUAAUUGUAUCUGACUAUUUAAAUCGCCCAAUUAAAGAUUAUUUAAGGGGGAUCGCAUAUAAUUUUAAUUUACAAACAUAUUAUUGUUAUCUAUUUUUAAUGUUCU